AAUUUUUAGGUCCAAUACCAUCCACCAUUGGGAAUCUAUCAAAUUUGUACCGGCUAGUCCUCGCUUCCAACAAAUUAAAUGGUGAGCUUCCAUUCUCCAUGUGCAACAUGACAUCCCUUCAAAUUCUUAUUUUCUCAAAUAACAGUUUGGAAAUCUUUGGACAUAUUUCAUCUAAAUGCAAAUCACUUUAGUGGCCGCAUUCCAUCAAUAUUUAUGAGAGGGUGUAUUUUUUAGUCUAACAAUUUGAGUGUUAAUAAAUCGCAAGAAAAUUUGCCUAUACAUGUGUUCAUACUAAUAACGAUUUUUCAUUUUUUCCAAUAGUGAUUCAAAUCACUAAUCUAUUAAUUGGAAGUGGAGAACUUUAACAAUUGAGUCACGCUUCGUUAUGAAAUUAAUUAUAUACUUAUAACUUUGCAUGACUAUAUAUGACUUUGAAUUGAUUAGAUAUAAGUUCUUGCACUAAUCUAUUAUUAUUAUUAUUAUUAUUAUUUAUUAUUAUUAUUAUUAUUAUUAUUAUUUAUUAUUAUUAUUAUUAUUAUUAUUAUUAUUAUUAUUAUUAUUAUUAUUAUUAUUAUUAUUAUUAUUAUUUCUCUCUCUUUUUCUAUACUUUACUCGGUUUACAUCAAUCUAAUUAAAUGGAAUUUUUUACAAAUUAGCCCAUAUGACAAUAUAUGUUCACUUUCAUAUAAUUAGAAAAAGCACACCACUAACUAAUUUUCUAAUACUAAUUAUGAUUUUAGAUUGGCUAGAUUAACUAUAUAUGACUCUGCAUUGAAUAGGUUAGAUAUAAAUUCUUGUACAUUAUUUGAUAAUAAAAAAAUGACUUUUAAAUUUUAUUUUAACAACUGAAAAUCAAUUUGUAAAUAUCAGAGGCCCCACUUAAUUGAACCAUUGCCAAGACUAAAUUGAACCGAGUCAAAAUUAUUUGGAUUGAACAAUUACCAUUUAAUAUUCACCAAAUAAUGUAUUCAAAUUGACAAAAACGAACCAUUAAAUAUAGUGUUCUAAUACUUAUUUAUUUUGUGGUCAUGUUAUAAUAAUCAAAUCAAUUAUUUUACGACUUGGCAAUUUUGGAGGUGAUAUUCCAAAAGCGAGAUUGAUUAUGUAUAUCUUGGGAAUAAGAAAUUCCACAAUGCUAUGAAAACUUUAGCAAAUCUUUGGCCAUCUUUCGUUCAAUUAUAAAUCAGUUUAGUGGUAAAAAAUGAGAUAUAUGGAAAAUUACAUAAAUUAUCUGUCGUCCAUUUCCUAAUUUGUUGGUUUUAGAUUACAUUUGUUGAAAAGAUAUUUCAAAUUAUCUGCCAAAGUAAAUGGUGAGCUUCCACUCCAUUUACAACUCGACAUCCCUUGCUAUCUGCAAUUUGGCAGAAACGCUUGCAAAACUUGAUCAGAUCUUUAGCUUAUUUUGUUUACUUAGCUUGCUGGCUUCUUCUCAUAUAACUAAUUUAUGCUUAGUUAGAUAAAUACUCUAACAGCAGUUGGAUUUUCUGUUUCCAGCCAUAUUGGAUCUUCAAUUUUCUCAAUGUUAGAUGAUUUGUUAAAUUAUGAUGUCAUCAAGUAUACUUGGUGUGUCAUCGUGAUACAGGGAAAUAUAAGAUUUGUAACAAAAUAUCUUGUGUGCAUUGCUAAUUGAUUUAUACUUUAAAGGCAUUUAGCAAAUAAUAAAGUUUGAGCGUAUGUUUUCAAGUACAAAAAAAAAUGUCUUUCUUACUAUCCUCCAUCUUUAAAGUGAUUGAAAUGAAGGGUUCUUCAAUUUUUAGGUCCAAUACCAUCCACCAUUGGAAAUCUAACAAAUUUGUACUGGCUAGAACUCUCUUCCAACAAAUUAAAUGGUGAGCUUCCAUUCUUUAUCUGCAACUUGACAUAAUAACUUUUUUACAAACUUCGUCGGAUCUUUUCGCCAUUUUUGUUUGAACUAGUCUUUUUAAAAUUUUACAUUUGGUAAGAUAAGAUAUGCGAUUUGUCUAAUUCCGUUGGCAAUGCAUGCACAAUAUGAAAUAAAACACGAAUGAUAUUAAUAAUAAAAGAAAAACAUAGAAAACACUUUUUUUUCGAAUUGUAUGACUUAGCUAAUUUGUGUCAAAAGAUCCGAGUGCUUUACAUCUCGAUCUUUAAAGUGAUUUAUAUGAAGGGUUAUCCAAUUUUCAGGUCCAAUACCAUCCACCAUUGGGAAUAUAUCAAAUUUGGACUAGCUAGACAUCUCUUCCAACAAAUUAAAUGGUGAGCUUCCAUUCUCCAUGUGCAACAUGACAUCCCUUCAAAUUCUUAUUUUCUCAAAUACAGUUUGAAAUCUUGGACAUAUCAAAUCAAUCAAUUUAGUGGCCCCAUUCCUAAAUAUUUAUGAGAGGGUGUAUUUUUGAGUCUAACAAUUUGAGUGUUAAUAAAUUGCAAGGAAAUUUGCCUAUACGAUUUGUCUAAUUCCUUUGUCACUCCAUGUGCAAUAUGAAAUAGAAAAGGAUGACUUAUCUAAUUUUGAAUCUUUGAUUUCUCAACUUGCUAGGUUGUUCUCAUUUAAUUAGCUCGUGCUUAAUUAACUAAAUACUUUAACAAUAAUUGGAUUUGUUGUUUCCAGCCAUAUUGUAACUCUAUUAAUUUUAAGGAUCAAUAUUAACCAAUGCUAUAUUAAAUUAAGAUGCCAUUGAAUAUAUGAGACAUGCAUGGGUGAUAUAAGAAUAGAAGGUAAUUUAAUUUCUAUCAAAAUACUUCACGUGCAUAAAAUGUAUUUAUUCAUUGCCAUGUUUCUUUAUGUAUCCAGAUUGUUGACUUCUCAAACUUUCAGGUCCAAUACCAUCCACCAUUGGGAAUCUAUCAAAUUUAGAUGUAUUACAACUCUCUUCCAACAAAUUAAAUGGUGAGCUUCCAUUCUCCAUUUGCAACUUGACAUCCCUUCAAAUUCUUAUUUUCUCAAAUAACAGUUUGGAAAUCUUUGGACAUAUUUCAUCUAAAUGCAAAUCACUUUAGUGGCCCCAUUCCAUCAAUAUUUAUGAGAGGGUGUAUUUUUGAGUCUAACAAUUUGAGUGUUAAUUAUAUCGCAAGAAAAUUUGCCUAUACGUGUGUUCAUAUAAGAUAUGAUAUUUGUCUAAUUCCUUUGUCACUCCAUGUGCAAUAUGAAAUAGAUUUAUAUAUAAAAAAAAGUUGAGUAAUAUAUUUUCUCAAUAAAAGAAAAAGGAAAACAUACUCUAAUAUUUUGAAAAGUAAUUGGAGCAGUGUAAUCUCUUUUUCACAUGGAUAAUAGAGUGACUUAUUUAGAACUCUAGCUGGGGUAUGACUUGUGGGACUCGAAGGCAGCAUCCCACUAGAAAUCGGAAAUGUGUCUUCACUUGUUUAUCUUGAUAUGAAUGGAAACUCUUUUCAUGGUACUAUUUCCUCUAUCUAUUUUUUAAUUUGUUGUUAAUAGAAUAUAUUUAUUUAUAUGGUAAUCCUAUCAGCUUGUGUGAUAUCCCGACUUUUCUAUAAGAAAUAUAGAAGAUCUUUACUUAGUUUAUUAUUGAUACACGUCCAUUUUUAAUAAAUUAUAUUAUUCCAAAGAAAUUUUACAACUUUGACGUUCAUGAUUUUUAUUUUUUUUUAGAAAUUAGUUGAUAAUGUCAUUCAAUUUCAUGCUUUCACUACCUUGUUAUGCCAUUUUUUUUAAUUAUGCUUUAUUGACUUGAUUGGAAUAAUAAUUUAGUUUUUGAAAUAAUUCAAUAAUAUGGAAAAGAACUUUGGGUUGUCUAAUUUUUUUAUAAAAACUAUUUUUGAUUGAAUGAUAUUUUUAUCUAAGAACCAAUAGAAUACAUGUAUUAUUACCUUUUCAUAAAAAACAUAAGAAAAUGGGCAUUUUUAUCUAUUAACACUUACUUUUAUCCAUCGAAACUAAUCAUCAAAAAUAAGUUUUUAUAAUAUUUUUGAUGAAUUAAUAGUUAUUUGAGUAGAAGUCAAAAUUUGUGGCUCAAUGAUUUGACUUCCACGCGGCAUUGUCACAUAAGUCAAAUAAUGACUUGCAAAUUGAGUUGUCUUGUAAAUUAACACUUUAUCCGUUCCAUAAAAGUGUGCAUCAUUUUUUGUAGCACGAGUUUUAAUAAAAUGUUAAAUAAGUGUAUUGGGAGUUGAAAAAGUAAUUGACUUUAUUAAAAAAUAAAAGUAAGAAAUAAAAAAUUAGUGGUGUAGUAGUGUCCAAAAAUGACAAUGCACACUCUUAUGUGCCGGAGUAAGUAGUCUCCAAAAAUUUUAGGCUCACAAGAACAGUUUUAGAUUUGAAUAUAAAGGGCAUUUGUAGGCUUCAAGUCUCCAAAAUUCUAGGCAUAUUUUAAAUCAACUAUUACUCUCUUUUUUAUUUAAAAAAAGAUUAAUGACGAUUUUUCAUUUUCCCAUUAGUGAUUCAAAUCCCUAAUCUAUUAAUUGGAAGUGGAGAACUUUACCAAUUGAGUCACGCUUCGUUAUGAAAUUAACUAUAUACUUAUAACUUUGCAUGACUAUAUAUGACUUUGAAUUGAUUAGAUAUAAAUUCUUGCACAUUAAUCUUUUUGCAAUAAACCAUAUGCUUUGAUUAAAAAAAAUGACAUUUCGAUUUAUUUUAACAACUUAAUACCAAUUUGUAAAUAUCAGAAGGCCCAUAAAACUUAAUUAAUAUUACUUUGGUAGACUCUAAACCGAAUUAUUGACAAGAUAUAUUGCUCAUGAUUACUACGGUGGGCUCUUAUUAUUAUUAUUAUUAUUAUUAUUAUUAUUAUUAUUAUUAUUAUUAUUAUUAUUAUUAUUAUUAUUUCUCUCUCUUUUUCUAUACUUGACUCGGUUUACAUCGAUCUAAUUAAAUGCAAUCAAAGAGAUUGAUUAUGUAUAUCUUGGGAAUAAGAAAUUCCACAAUGCUAUGAAAACUUUAUCAAAUUUUUGGCAAUCUUUCAUUCAAUUACAAAUCAGUUUAGUGGUUAAAAAUGAGAUGGAACAUUACAUAAAUUUGUUGAAAAGAUAUUUCAAACUAUCUGUCAAGUAAUUCUUGUGAAGAUUUGCUACUAUUGAGAAUCUAUCAAAUCUAUGGAACCUAGACCUCUCUUCCAAUGAAUUAAAUGGUGAGCUUCCACUCCAUUUACAACUUGACAUCCCUUGCUAUCUGCAACUUGGCAGAAACGCUUGCAAAACUUGAUCAGAUCUUUAGCUUAAUUUGUUUUCUUAGCUUGCUGGCUUCUUCUCAUAUAACUAAUUUAUGCUUAGUUAGAUAAAUACUCUAACAGUAGUUGGAUUUUCUGUUUCCAGCCAUAUUGGAUCUUCUAUUUUCUCAAUGUUAACAAAUGAUUUGUUAAAUUAUGAUGUCAUCAAGUAUACUUGGUGUGCAUGUCUUCGUGAUACAUGGAAAUAUAAGAUUUGUAACAAAAUAUCUUGUGUAUGUUGCUAAUUGAUUUAUACUUUAGAGGCAUUUAGCAAAUAAUAAAGUUUCAGCGUAUGUUUUCAUGUACAAAACAAAAUGUCUUUCUUACUAUCCUCCAUCUUUAAAGCGAUUGAAAUGAAGGGUUCUUCAAUUUUUAGGUCCAAUACCAUCCACCAUUGGGAAUCUAUCAAAUCUGUCGGACCUAGACCUCUCUUCCAACAAAUUAAAUGGUGAGCUUUCAUUCUUUAUAUGCAACUUGACAUAAUAACUUUUUUACAAACAUGAUCGGAUCUUUGGCCAUUUUUGUUUGAACUAGUCUUGUAACGACCCAACUUCCCAAACAAAAGAAAUAAGAAAAUAAUGUGAUAUGAACAGAUCAAUUAUGAAGAUUUACCCAAAAGAUUAGGUAUCUGUGUUUUGAAGAGAUUAAUAAAAUAAAGAUAAAAUAGAAUAAAUGAAUGAGCAUUGAGUGACAUAAUCGAUUAACAACAUUCAACUUUCCAGGAGCGCAAAAGUUUAGUUUCGUGACUCUGAUCAUAAUCAACGAUGGCCUCAUUAAUUGAAAUACGAAUUAAGGGUCUAAGCUCAACGAGAUAAUAUUUUACCAUAUAAUAGAAGUUCUUAGUUUAGGAGAUUGAAAGACAAGAUAGCAAGCUAGUCGUUUAGCGGAAGCAAAAGACAACGUGGAACCCUAGCCUCAGCUCCGUCCGCACCAACCGAUCAACCUGAAAAUAUUUGAAAAUAAUUUGGGCUGAGUACUAGUGUACUCAGUGAACAGGAGUUUGCAAGAUAUUUUAUGAAAUAAUUAAAUAGAGCAGUUUAUCCAAUAUCAUAAUCAUAACUUAGAAGGUUUUUAAAAAAAAUAGAAAUCCUCUUCUAAGCAUGACAAAACAUUUUUCUCAUUAAGUGGCGCGCCAUGUGACGUUCGAUUGUUACUCGCUGCUUAUGAUCCCGGGAAUUAACCACCGUCGGAUCGCUUACCGCCGCUUAAGUGAACCCGGGACGCUACCCAGACGGAACACAUCAUCAUUUGUGCUUUGGAACGUGUCCAGGAGCACCCUUAUAACGCCUGCUUAGCUUUGUUAGUGCCCAAAUGGCGAUCAACCCAUUGAGCAACUAACCUUGUGUACACAAUCCUCAUCUAACGUGUUAGGUCAAAUGAGAAUCUCGAUCGAUGCUUAUGCGAGCAUUAAACAAUACAGAACGCACAUAAAAACAUUUAUAUUGGAUAAACAAGUAACUUUCAUGAAAUAUCAGAGCUUAUAUAACUCAAGAUACAUUUGUACAAUAAAGCCCACCUGGAUAGGCAAAGCCUGAAGAUCAUACACAUAUAAACUUGUCUUGGGAAAGCAGCGCUAACCCACUUGGCCACAAAGCCUACAAGAAAUUAUAUUCUUAAUAGGUAUCGAGGUAUCAUUCUAAUUUAUAAGUAAAUGGAAUCGCUAACUAUUGAUACACUUUGCCCGAUUUAAUAAUCUCUUUGAAUGAAUCCAUAAUCUUUUAAUAUAUAAAAUAAGUUUAAAACUUAUAAAAUAAUUAAUAAUUUAAAAUAAAUUAUAAAACAUUAAUCUUGGGAGAAAAAUUAAUAAUUCUUAUUAAAACAUUUUCAGCAAAAUAAUAGUUCAAGCCCAAGAAGAUAAUUUAAAAACUUGUUAUAAAAUAAAGCAGCCCAAAGUAAUUAAAGUGAAGCCUAAAUGCUUAAAUGUACCUGAGUCCAUUGACAAUUUAAAUCAAACUAGGCUCAAUCCAUUCUUUCAAAUUCCCUUAAUGAAAACCUACACCUACACACAUCACACACACAUACAACCCACGCACACCAGCUCACUCCCUCUCUCUCAGCCGCUCACCCCACCCUUUCUGCGCCCUCCUGCCGCCGCCACCGGACGGCAGCGCCGUCCCCGGAGGCCGGCGGCUCCGCCUCCUUCCUCUAUCCUGUCCGACCGCAACGCCACCCCGCCGUCCCUGUAUCGACAGAGGCGCGCCGAGCCGCCUCCCCUUCCAGUACUGCCGCCGCUGCCCUCUUUCCCUUUCCUCACCUCUAGUCUCCCUCUCACUCUCCCCCACCGCACCCAACAGCGGCGUCCACCCUUCUCCGGCGACCCUCGCCGCCAGCCACCACCCGCUCCUACCCGGCGUCACCUUCACCCUCCUCUCUCCCUCGUUUGGUCAACAGCAGCAGUCCUUCAGCAGCCCAGCUGCGGUCAAGGCCACCGCGCCGCCGCCGAACGGCGGCUUUCGCCUCCCUUCUCUUCCCCUUCUUCUUAUCUCCCUUUCACCCCUCACUUCUCGCCGUCCUCCAUCACCUCUCUCUCGCGCUUUCGGCAGCGGACGGCCAAGGAGGGCCGUCGCUGCUGCUGCUGCUCCGUUCACUCUGCGUCAGCGGCACCAUGCCCCGACUCCAUCUGCCUUGGCCGCGAGCGGCCGGCGGGAUGCUGCCACGCAUGCAGCGCCGGCAGUCGCAGCCUUGACAGCCCGGCGUCGAGCUCGAACCGCCCCACUCCCUCCCUCUCAUCGAUUCCUCGACUCUCACUCACUCACCAGAGGAACAAAGAAAUUGAAUGAAAAGGAAAUUGAAUGGGAGAGAGGAAAUUUUCUUCAUAAAUCGGAGUGUGUGGAUGGGAAAAGUUUGUGGGUGUGGCUGAAGGUGAUGUGGAUGAAGGAAAGCCAAAGCUUUUGAGAAAAAUAAAAUAAAAUCGCCACUGUAGAAUUCUUGGGGAAAAAAGAAAAUGUAUCAAUUCUCGUUGCCCGACUCAACUUCUCACACUUUCCCAUACUGACAUUCAAAUUUUGGGCCACUACUGAUCUUACAAAUCUUGAGGUGAAAGCCCAUAAAAUUAUUCUGUUAAAAAGAGGUUGUUGGGCUUGAGGUUCAUCAAAUAAAUAAAUAGAUAGAUAUAAAUGAAAAAUACUAGUAAGAACCUUCUACUAUAUUUUAGUAUUGG
rnacentral:lncRNA from 1 species